UACGGAGGAUCCAAGCGUUAUCCGGAUUUAUUGGGUUUAAAGGGUGCGUAGGCGGCCUGUUAAGUCAGGGGUGAAAGACGGUAGCUUAACUAUCGCAGUGCCCUUGAUACUGAUGGGCUUGAAUAUACUUGAGGUAGGCGGAAUGUGACAAGUAGCGGUGAAAUGCAUAGAUAUGUCACAGAACACCAAUUGCGAAGGCAGCUUACUAAGGUAUGAUUGACGCUGAGGCACGAAGCGUGGGGAUCAAACAGG
rnacentral:rRNA from 1 species